UACGUAGGGGGCUAGCGUUGUCCGGAAUCAUUGGGCGUAAAGCGCGCGUAGGCGGCCCGGUAAGUCCGCUGUGAAAGUCCAGGGCUCAACCCUGGAAAGCCGGUGGAUACUGCCGGGCUAGAGUCCGGAAGAGGCGAGUGGAAUUCCUGGUGUAGCGGUGGAAUGCGCAGAUAUCAGGAGGAACACCCGUGGCGAAGGCGGUUCUCUGGGACGGUACUGACGCUGAGACGCGAAAGCGUGGGGAGCGAACAGG
rnacentral:rRNA from 1 species